CACAUGGGCACAGAGCCUGUGUCUCCUACCGCCCCUUCAGUCCCGGCCUCACUCCUCAACCUCUGAGAAGGUUUUCCACUUCACAAUGGCCGCCAUCACACGGAUCUGCUUCUCAUCAGUUACCAUGAUGAAGGCACCUUAUGAAAGGAAGUGUUUAUUAGGAGUUACAUUCCAGGAAGAUGAGAGCCCAUCACAGACUGGGUGGCAGGACCAGGAAGCCCAGAGCUCACAUCCUCAACCACGAGCAUAAACCAGAGAGAGAGAAAAAACUGGAAGUGGUGAGAGGCUUUUAAUCUCAAAGCCCAUCCCCAGUGACACACUUCCUCCAGCAAGGCUGAACCACCAAGACCUUCCUGAGCAGUGCCACCAAUGGGGAACCGAGUGCUGAGUUGUGAUUAGCUGGCGUGUCCCCUGAACACCCAAAUAAAAGAUGGAACUAUGGGAGUAGAACAUUCACAUUCCUUCUGAACAGAGUCUGGCAAACAUCACUGAAGACAGCUGUAAACAAGUGCAUCUGGGCUUCCUGGGACCAGCUUCCUGGGCAAGGACCAAGUAGAGAUUUAACUCCAGCUGGCCAGCAACCAGAGGGCACGUGGUAUUCCAAAACCACCAGAAGCACAGCUGUGGGACUCCUGCCUUGAAGAAUAAUUAACUUGCUUCUCGUUUCUGAUGUGCCAUAUUAGGUGUAAGACAAUCUGCCCACAUAAAUAUGAACACAAAUAUGGGUUUUUCAGGCUCAAACAAGAAGCAGGUGCCUUUCUCACGCAGAGCAGGGAAAGUGGCUGCAAGGUCUGUCCACCAGAAAAGCUACAAGAAGGAUCUAGCUUAGGCACAUGAAGACCUGAGACCCAUCCUAAGUCUACAGGGUAGCCUCCAUUUUCUCACCAAUAAAAUAGGACCGUUGCCGCCACGAUGAAUUGUGUGUGUGUGUGUGUGUGGUUUGGUCCUG